GAUGAAUGAUAUCUUUAUUACUUCACAAUUUGCGUCAUCCUCUCUCGAGUGUUUUGCGUCAGCCAGAUGUACGAUAAUGCUGGAAACUUGGGAAGUUCUCAUGUCAGAUGACAUGAUCCCAAUGACCCAAUCCCAUCCCCACACCAAUUUUCGCAACGUUGAUGGAGGCAAGUGUAGAUGUCAUGAAACUCAACUUCUAGUCUGAAUAUUACAAAAUAGAGGACAAGUUCUUCAAACCAAGAAAUGCUGGUUACUGUCCUAUCCUUAACCAGCGACCUCCAAGUUUGAGCUUCAAGUGGGAUUGUCUUGUUUACGCAUGCCAAGAACAAAAACUUUUUUAUUUGAAAUGUAUCUUGUCCUUAGGUUAUAGGUCAUAUUUUGCUAUGUUGUCUAGGGCAGUGAACUUUGGGAAUAACCAAAAGGUCUUAGCAGUGUGGAGAAAGUGGGUGGUGAAAUGAGAAGAGACCAAAGUGAAUUAAUGAUGAGUACAAGACGGGAGCAAUGCUGAAGAAACACCAAAGGGAAUGUUGGAUCAUUUGGGAUGAAUCUUCCCUACUGUUGAAGUUAGCUUAUAUCUCCGCACCGAUGGGUGAGUAGGCAUUCAAACAGAUGACUGAUUGGCUGCCUGGAUGACAGUUUAGUACACCUAUUCUCCACCAGGUGUGUUCCAAAUCUUUUAGCUCAUCAGAAUUCUCCUUGCUGCAGUUGUGCAUAAGUCCUUGUUGGUAUUUCAUGGCGGUUUGCUGCUAUCACAGUACUGUAGGUUUAUUUUUCCCAGGAUGCCUCCACUGGAAUUGAGGCUGGGAACGUUAGGUUCUGUAGGAAUGAUUGUUGUGUUAGUAGGUUGUAAUUUUUUUUCUUUUUCAGGAGAUGAAGUGUGAUCUUGAGAAUAUAUGUCAGGAAGUAGGGAUUUUCGAAGGACUGUGCUUAAGUUCAUUAAUGAAGGAAGAGAAGGGAAACAGAGAGAUUGCAAAAGCAAUUAGUUAGGUCAGGUUAUGAACCUGUCAUUUCUCCUCCUCCUCCUCCUCCAGGUCCUUGGUCUGUAGAUAUCCAAACUCAGUCUAGGCUUUUCCUUUGCCAAUUCUUUAGUUAGUACUGAGGCUUCCUCUUUAGUUCUGCCCUCUGCUCCCCUUUUGGGUACUGCUUGCUUACUGUUAAAGUAGACCCCGCCCAGCUUCCCCAUAACUUAUUGGGCUGUCAAGGAGAAUUCUGAUAAGCUAAACCAUUCGAAACACACCUGGUGGAGAAGAGGUGUACUAACCAGUCAUCUGGCACCCAUUUGAUAUUUUGUUUGAAUGCUGACUCGCUUAUGGGCGCAGAGAUAUAAGCUAACUUUAAUAAUAGGUAAGUAUUCAAAUAGGUAAUAAAUUUUGUUAUGAAAAUUUAUAUAGUAUGUUGUGCUCUGGCCCUGCUUAUACCUCCAGCUUGGGUAUACUCUAGAUCUAUCCUAAGGUCAUCAGUCUGUGUAACAGACAAGUAUUAUUGAAUAAUUCCCAUAUUGUCAUUUAUAUUUUUAUACAUAUCUGCAAAUGAGAUUAGAUGUCUGAACAUUUUCCACCAUUGUAUAACUUAGUGUAGUGUACUUUUAGCCUGAACUCUUUAUAUUGUUUCAGACAAUGCCUUGCCCUUAGCUUCCAUUCCCAUCAUCAUAAAUGUAGUUUUGCUUGGUUUGGUUCUCAUCAAGUCAUCUAGAUAGCAGGAGCUGUUAGUGGCCUCCCUUUCAAAAUUUCUUUGUAACAUCCUCCUCUACGCAGGAUUAGCAGUGUUGGGCUCGGGGCUGAUCCGUGGUGGACACCAACAUUUCUCAAGUUCUCUGGGUGUAUCUGCCACAAUAUUCAGUACAUGUUAAUUUUAAACUGCAUUUUUAAACUUUCUUCCACAACCAACACUAACCAUCACCCAUUGAUAUGUACACUGUUUCAGUAGAACUCCUCUGCAUUUUGCUCACUGUAAUAAGUUUCCUUGGCCUUAAAUGUAAUUCAUGUGAUACCUUCAUUCUUCUGGUCCAACUUCCUCCUCUUUAAUGCUGGUUUUAAGUGCUUUGCCCCAUUUCCUUCCUAUACUUACAUAUAUUUGAUAAUGUAUAUCUGUUGCUUUCUUUUUCCAUCACCUCUAUUCUAUGUGGGGGGUAUCUUUUCUGAUAGUCAUUGUCAGGAGUGGAUCAAGGCAUAUGAAAGUAGUUUGUGUUGAGAUUUUAAGAUUAUUUCUAUGAGUAGUAUCUUAUUUUCUCAUCUUCUUCUGUUAAGUGUUUUCUUUGGCUAAUAUUUGCUUUGUUUAUUCUUAAUUUAUCCUUAUUUUUGUGUUGUAUGACUUUUUAGACACCAUGAUCCAUUGUAAAAUGGAAAAGGAAAACACCAGGUUCCAGUACUUGCUGACUUGUGUUGAUGGUCCCACAGGAUUAUAAUAUAGAGCAUUAUCAUGCAUACAUAUCACUCUUGCCUGGUUUCAGUUGACUCUAGUUUGUCUAGAACACAUAAAUGGGUAGUGGGCUUCAUGACCAAUGGAGUUACAGUUACCAGGUUUCUAUAAGGCUAAUUUCUGAUUUCACAUUCUUGGACUCAUUUCAAGCUUGUUUGGCCUUUCAGUCACUAGAGGAGAUCCAACCUCCUUCCAAAGGGUGUGAAACUUACAGGGUUACAAUUUUAAAAUGAUCAUUAUUGAUAUUAUAUCUAAACUGUCUAAUCAGACUACGUACUGAGUUAACAUUCUUAAUUCUAGUAGGGUUGGCCCAAAGGGAAUGUUAACAGUUACCUAAAAUAUGAAUGUGUUUUUUUUUUUUUUUUUUUUAUUGUUAAUUCAGAGAAAUCUCUCAUCCUUUGUAUCAUUUGUCAAAGUGCAAAGAACUGUAGCUACUAUAGGUUAAACUAGAUUUUGGCAAAAAGUGACAGUGGGUAAAGCCAUUUGUACCCUGAUUAAUUAGUGACAAUAUGGAAUUAGAUUUUUAUGGAAUUCCUUAUGAUGGCCAGACGUCUAACUCAAUUUUACUCUUGCUUUAUCAUGCCGUGACUAUUAAGUAACUAAUUAUUCUUAUAGCCAAAUAAAGUGUAGAGAUUUUGUGAGAACUGAGUAAAUGCUGAAAUACAGAGGUCCUUCCACAAAAAAAAAAAAAUUUACAAUUUGGUAUUACAAUGUCAUUUUGGUAGGAACAGAAAAUUUGGGUAGGAUGCAAGCUAGACCAGCACUCAAUGUUUUCCCUUUAGGCAAAUUUGAGGUUAAAUUUUAACAAUUACAAUCAAUUAUAUUUUUAAAAAUGCUCAUGGUCACACGUAUCUUGAAAUGGAGAAAAAAUCCACAGAUAUGUAUGGGUACAAAUAUAUUCAAAAUAAAUCUAUAUAGAUUUAUCUUUUAUAUAUUUUUACCCAUACAUACUUCUAGAUUUGUUUCCCUAGUCAACUGAAUCUUGACUUAACCAUAUUACUGAAAUCCAGUGGGAAUUGUAUAGUAGUACAAGUUAACACUAAAUCAUAAAUUAUUACAGUAAGCUAAAAGCAACCUUCAUAUGUCUAGACACAUGCAUUGGAUAGCCUAGAAUGUUCAGACACCGUAACUCAUAAAUAAUAAAUGCGAAUACCCCAAAUAAUUCACGUUAUAAAAAACCACAAGCAUUUCAAGAUGUAUAUCUUCUUAAAACGUAACUACUACUGACAUUGUCUGGAUUGAAUAAUUUCCUAAGCUGAGGCAGAACUCUUCGGUUGUCAAGAUUUCACUAAUGACAACUCGAAAUUUCAAUGUUGCCUUAAAUGGUCUAGUAUACUUUACAUUAUUACUUGCAUGCAUUGCUUCAUAGUGAGUCAUUCUUAUAAUAAAUAUAACUGCUGAUUCUGGAUUGAUAAUGGAUGCAAAACAUUGUUAGCUAAGAUAUUCACCAAAUGUCCCUAUAUCCUAUGUAUAAUUAAUAUCGUGAAAGAGUAGAAUGAAAUAAAAAUGGAAAACUGAUGCCUGUAAACUCGGUAUAUCUUCUGUCAUCUGAGAUGGAAACGCUAGUCAUCAAAAUAAUUAUAGUAGUACAUCAUAUUCAGCAAGUAUAAAGGCCUGUCCACACGAUCGGGCCUGAUCGGCGGACUUCCCCUCUAACGGGCACACUUGACGGGCAAACCGUCAAAUUGCCCGAUGGGUUUUGUAGCAAAAUCACCAUGGUGGUGCCCGAUGGCUGAGCUUCAACCCUGGCAGACGUACGUUAACCAUAUACAUUUCUUUUACUGAGCCAUUCUUUGCACCAUAUUCUCUUCUUUUUCAUCACACACAAAGCAAUUAUCAUGCUACACUAUCUUCUUCUUUGCGGUAGGCACCAUGUUUAUCGUACCACACUGAACACGCUACUGGCAUUGUCGGGCACGCCCACCUCUCCAUCGCCUCACCUGUGUGGACAACAUUUACGGAUAAGUCCGCCAGAAUUUGCCCGUCAACCCUGGAGCAUGCCGAUCAGGCCCGGUCGUGUGGACAGGCCUUAAUGCAUUGCAAAAUAGCCAGAUACUCAAGUUUCAGUUCCUAGACCAGGAGAUAAUAUAUUCCAAUCCUAUUCAAGAGAACAUUAAACAUACAAGCUACACUCUCCUUGGGUAAAAGGCUUAAAGAAGAACAUUUAGCCUUUAACAAAUGCCAUUAUCUGUUCUUUGCAAACUUCCCAGUUUCAUACAAAUUAUAAUCAGUUCACUAUGAAACUUCCAAAUUUGUUCGCACAAAAAGCCAUUUCAAAAACUUUCAGACUGAACAGCAUAAAUAAAACAAUUAGUUGAUA